CGGGGGGCUGCACCAGUGGGGAAUAUUGGACAAUGGGGGAAACCCUGAUCCAGCAAUGCCGCGUGUGUGAAGAAGGCCUGCGGGUUGUAAAGCACUUUCGGUUGGGAGGACUGCUUCUAGCACUAAUAUUGUUGGAAGUUGACGUUACCUUCAGAAGAAGCACCGGCUAACUCCGUGCCAGCGAGCCGCGGUAAUACGGAGGGUGCGUGCGUUAAUCGGAAUUACUGGGCGUAAGGCGCGCGUAGGCGGCUAGAUCAGUCGGGUGUGAAAGCCCCGGGCUUAGCCUGGGAACUGCAUCCGAUACUGUCUAGCUUGAGUACAGGAGAGGAGAGUGGAAUUCCACAUGUAGCGGUGACAUGCGUAGAUAUGUGGAGGAACACCAAUGGCGAAGGCAGCUCUCUGGCCUGAUACUGACGCUGAGGUGCGAAAGCGUGGGGAGCAAACAGGAUUAGAUACCCUUGUAGUC
rnacentral:rRNA from 1 species